CUGAAAUAACAGCUACCCGAGCGCCUCCGAAGGA
rnacentral:sRNA from 1 species